GAUGAACGCUGGCGGCGUGCUUAACACAUGCAAGUCGAACGAAGCAUUUAGAACGGAUUACUUCGGUUUGAAGUUCUUUAUGACUGAGUGGCGGACGGGUGAGUAACGCGUGGGUAACCUGCCUUGUACUGGGGGAUAGCAGCUGGAAACGGCUGGUAAUACCGCAUAAGCGCACAAUGUUGCAUGACAUGGUGUGAAAAACUCCGGUGGUAUAAGAUGGACCCGCGUCUGAUUAGCUAGUUGGUGAGAUAACAGCCCACCAAGGCGACGAUCAGUAGCCGACCGGAGAGGGUGACCGGCCACAUUGGGACUGAGACACGGCCCAGACUCCUACGGGAGGCAGCAGUGGGGAAUAUUGCACAAUGGAGGAAACUCUGAUGCAGCGACGCCGCGUGGGUGAAGAAGUAAUUCGUUAUGUAAAGCUCUAUCAGCAGGGAAGAUAGUGACGGUACCUGACUAAGAAGCUCCGGCUAAAUACGUGCCAGCAGCCGCCGUAA
rnacentral:rRNA from 1 species